rnacentral:tRNA from 1 species
CCUCGAUCGGGGCGGCCGGGUUCUGCACGCCGGCGUUGUUCACCAGGAUGCUCAGCGGGCCGGCCCGCCGUUCGGUCUCGGCGAUCGCGGCC